GAUGAAGAACGUAGCGAAAUGCGAUAAGUAAUGUGAAUUGCAGAAUUCAGUGAAUCAUCGAAUCUUUGAACGCACCUUGCACCCUUUGGCAUUCCGAAGGGUAUGCUCGUUUGAGUGUCAUUGUACUCUCACACUCUCCGAUCCUAUGGAUUCGGGGAGCGGUGGACUUGGGUGUUGCUACCUUUCCCUGUGGCUCACCUCAAAUGCGUCAGUGCACCUCUUGGUUGGACAUAGUACGGCGUGAUAAGUGUCUUCGCCGGCACCUCGCAAGAGGGUGGCCGAUCGGGAGCUCUGCGCUUUCAAACCGUCUUCGGACAAUUUCUGACAUCUUGACCUCAAAUCGAGUAGGACUACCCGCUGAACUUAAGCAUAUCAAUAAGCGGAGGA
rnacentral:misc_RNA from 1 species